GCGAAAGUUAUCGGUAGUUCAAUGGUAGAACAAAUUCCUAGUGAGAAUUAGACCUCAGUUCAAUUCUGGGAGGACUUUAGCA
rnacentral:tRNA from 1 species